rnacentral:rRNA from 1 species
GAAUAUUGGACAAUGGGCGCAAGCCUGAUCCAGCCAUACCGCGUGGGUGAAGAAGGCCUUCGGGUUGUAAAGCCCUUUUGUUGGGAAAGAAAUCCAGCUGGUUAAUACCCGGUUGGGAUGACGGUACCCAAAGAAUAAGCACCGGCUAACUUCGUGCCAGCAGCCGCGGUAAUACGAAGGGUGCAAGCGUUACUCGGAAUUACUGGGCGUAAAGCGUGCGUAGGUGGUCGUUUAAGUCCGUUGUGAAAGCCCUGGGCUCAACCUGGGAACUGCAGUGGAUACUGGGCGACUAGAGUGUGGUAGAGGGUAGCGGAAUUCCUGGUGUAGCAGUGAAAUGCGUAGAGAUCAGGAGGAACAUCCAUGGCGAAGGCAGCUACCUGGACCAACACUGACACUGAGGCACGAAAGCGUGGGGAGCAAACAG